rnacentral:rRNA from 1 species
UACGGAGGUGGCAAGCGUUGUUCGGAAUUACUGGGCGUAAAGGGCGCGUAGGCGGCAAGGCAAGUCAGGUGUGAAAGCCCCGAGCUUAACUCGGGAAUUGCAUCUGAAACUGCUGUGCUUGAGUUCUGGAGGGGGUAGUGGAAUUCCCAGUGUAGCGGUGAAAUGCGUAGAUAUUGGGAGGAACACCAAUGGCGAAGGCAGCUCGCUGGGACGGUACUGACGCUGAGACGCGAAAGCGUGGGGAGCAAACAGG